rnacentral:rRNA from 1 species
UGGGGAAUAUUGCACAAUGGGCGCAAGCCUGAUGCAGCCAUGCCGCGUGUGUGAAGAAGGCCUUCGGGUUGUAAAGCACUUUCAGCGAGGAGGAAGGUGGUGAACUUAAUACGUUCAUCAAUUGACGUUACUCGCAGAAGAAGCACCGGCUAACUCCGUGCCAGCAGCCGCGGUAAUACGGAGGGUGCAAGCGUUAAUCGGAAUUACUGGGCGUAAAGCGCACGCAGGCGGUUUGUUAAGUCAGAUGUGAAAUCCCCGGGCUCAACCUGGGAACUGCAUUUGAAACUGGCAAGCUAGAGUCUCGUAGAGGGGGGUAGAAUUCCAGGUGUAGCGGUGAAAUGCGUAGAGAUCUGGAGGAAUACCGGUGGCGAAGGCGGCCCCCCUGGACGAAGACUGACGCUCAGGUGCGAAAAGCGUGGGGGAGCAAAACAGGAUUAGAUACCCUGGUAGUCCACGCUGUAAAACGAUGUCGAUUUGGAGGUUGUGCCCUUGAGGCGUGGCUUCCGGAGCUAACGCGUUAAAUCGACCGCC